UGUACUGGAUAGUACGACUGUGAUUUCAAUGUAUUAGGUUUAUCCAACUCGUUGAGAAAGCGGUAGUAAAUUUCUAGUGACUGGCUCGGCCUUAUAACAACAAACCAAGUUUGACCUCAAAUCAGGUGAGAAUACCCGCUGAACUUAAGCAUAUCAAUAAGCGGAGGAAAAGAAACCAACAGGGAUUGCCUUAGUAGCGGCGAGUGAAGCGGCAAUAGCUCAAAUUUGAAAUCUGGUACCUUCGGUACCCGAGUUGUAAUUUGAAGAAGGUAUCUUUGGUUUUGGCUCUUGUCUAUGUUCCUUGGAACAGGACGUCACAGAGGGUGAGAAUCCCGUGCGAUGAGAUGCCCAAUUCCAUGUAAAGUUCCUUCGACGAGUCGAGUUGUUUGGGAAUGCAGCUCUAAGUGGGUGGUAAAUUCCAUCUAAAGCUAAAUAUUGGCGAGAGACCGAUAGCGAACAAGUACUGUGAAGGAAAGAUGAAAAGAACUUUGAAAAGAGAGUGAAAAAGUACGUGAAAUUGUUGAAAGGGAAGGGCUUGAGAUUAGACUUGGAAUUUUUCCAGCGAUGGAAGCUUUCCGGGCCAGCAUCAGUUUGGAUGGCAGGAUAAUAGCGUUGGAAAGUAUUACUUCGGUUUGUUAUAGACUUCGCUGAUACUGCCUAUCUAGACUGAGGACCGCGUCUUUGACUAGGAUGCUGGCGUAAUGAUCUUAAGCCGCCCGUCUUGAAACACGGACCAAGGAGUCUAACGUCUAUGCGAGUGUUUGGGUGUUAAACCCGUACGCGUAAUGAAAGUGAACGUAGGUGAGAGCCUUUUAGGUGCAUCAUCGACCGAUCCUGAUGUCUUCGGAUGGAU
rnacentral:rRNA from 1 species